UUGGUCUACACGGCCACGCGUUGUGCCAGGUGAAUCAUCGGUCCGGUGGAGAGCAAACAUUUAAUAAGGUUUUAAAUGCAAAAGUAAAUAAACCAACGCCACGAACAGGAUGUUCACCGGACUAAUGCAGUGUUUUAUUGAGAGUCAGAGGGCACAGGGUAGCUACAUGUCUUACCUGUGCUGAAGGAUCCAUCUUGAGUUACACGGACGGCAUCUUCGGUGGUUCCAAUUUCCAGCCCAUUCCCCAAUUUUCAACCCCAAUGACAGACAACACAUGCUUGAAUGGCUGUUCAGCUAAAGAAGGGAAUUGUUGGCUCCUGUGUUCUGUCUAAGCAGAGAUGAGAAGACAAUACUCCAGUGUGUGCAGAUCAGGUGUUUACCUUAUAAGCACGAUGAAAGCCCCGCCAACCAGUUGUGACAAUGGCAAAGUGAGAUAAUAACCCACCGAGAUGAUUUGAGAAUGACUUAUACGAGCACCGAGCUUGUACGGGGCAUUGCACACUCUAAAUGGUAUGCUUUUGAAGUCAGACGAACCAGAGGGUGUGGUAGACUUUGUCUGGUCCACCUCACUGUGUUGCAUUAUUAGGUCUCUGUUUAUGCUCAGAAUAAUGUCAUUUUUUAUUUCGUGUGGAUAUUUUAUAUGUGACUAGAUCCUUGAAAAGAGAAUAAAUAUACUCAAUCUUCUGA